GGUGGCGGACGGGUGAGUAACGCGUAAAGAACUUGCCUCACAGCUAGGGACAACAUUUGGAAACGAAUGCUAAUACCUAAUAUUAUGAUAAUAGGGCAUCCUAUGAUUAUGAAAGCUAUAAGCGCUGUGAGAGAGCUUUGCGUCCCAUUAGCUAGUUGGAGAGGUAACGGCUCACCAAGGCGAUGAUGGGUAGCCGGCCUGAGAGGGUGAUCGGCCACAAGGGGACUGAGACACGGCCCUUACUCCUACGGGAGGCAGCAGUGGGGAAUAUUGGACAAUGGACCAAGAGUCUGAUCCAGCAAUUCUGUGUGCACGAUGAAGUUUUUCGGAAUGUAAGUGCUUUCAGUUGGGAAGAAAGAAAUGACGGUACCAACAGAAGAAGUGACGGCUAAAUACGUGCCAGCAGCCGCGGUAAUACGUAUGUCACGAGCGUUAUCCGGAUUUGUUGGGCGUAAAGCGCGUCUAGGUGGUUAUAUAAGUCUGAUGUGAAAAUGCAGGGCUCAACUCUGUAUUGCGUUGGAAACUGUAUAACUAGAGUACUGGAGAGGUAAGCGGAACUACAAGUGUAGAGGUGAAAUUCGUAGAUAUUUGUAGGAAUGCCGAUGGGGAAGCCAGCUUACUGGACAGAUACUGACGCUGAAGCGCGAAAGCGUGGGUAGCAAACAGGAUUAGAUANCCUGGUAGUCCACGCCGCAAACGAUGAUUACUAGGUGUUGGGGGUCGAACCUCAGCGCCCAAGCAAACGCGA
rnacentral:rRNA from 1 species